rnacentral:rRNA from 1 species
GACGAACGCUGGCGGCGUGCUUAACACAUGCAAGUCGAACGGAAAGGCCCUUCGGGGUACUCGAGUGGCGAACGGGUGAGUAACACGUGGGUGAUCUGCCCUGCACUUUGGGAUAAGCCUGGGAAACUGGGUCUAAUACCGAAUAUGAUCAUCAGCUUCAUGGUUGGUGGUGGAAAGCUUUUGCGGUGUGGGAUGGGCCCGCGGACUAUCGGCUUGUUGGUGGGGUAAUGGCCUACCAAGGCGACGACGGGUAGCCGGCCUGAGAGGGUGACCGGCCACACUGGGACUGGGAUACGGCCCAGAGUCCUACGGGAGGCAGCAGUGGGGAAUAUUGCACAAUGGGCGCAAGCCUGAUGCAGCGACGCCGCGUGAGGGAUGACGGCCUUCGGGUUGUAAACCUCUUUCAGCACAGACGAAGCGCAAGUGACGGUAUGUGCAGAAGAAGGACCGGCCAACUACGUGCCAGCAGCCGCAGUAA